GAUGAAGAACGCAGCGAAAUGCGAUAAGUAAUGUGAAUUGCAGAAUUCAGUGAAUCAUCGAAUCUUUGAACGCACAUUGCGCCCGCCAGUAUUCUGGCGGGCAUGCCUGUUUGAGCGUCAUUACAACCCUCAGGCCCCCGGGCCUGGCGUUGGGGAUCGGCGGAAGCCCCCUGCGGGCACAACGCCGUCCCCCAAAUACAGUGGCGGUCCCGCCGCAGCUUCCAUUGCGUAGUAGCUAACACCUCGCAACUGGAGAGCGGCGCGGCCACGCCGUAAAACACCCAACUUCUGAAUGUUGACCUCGAAUCAGGUAGGAAUACCCGCUGAACUUAAGCAUAUCAAUAGCGGAGGA
rnacentral:misc_RNA from 1 species